UCUUUUGCUACCAUGAGGACUGCCCCACGCAGAAGUGCUUCUGAGAUAACAGCCUCAAGAGCAGCAGGUUUUGGACAAGGGUCAUGAUUAUCUUUUAUCUGACAGCACCAAGCAGAGUACAGAACACACAGUAGGCUCCGUAAGUACUUGCUCAAUUGAAUCCAUUUCAUUUUCUUAGUUGUUCUGCUCUAUGUUACUGGAAAAGUAAGACCUUUAUUUGCUGAUGAAGACAACAUGGCAAUAAAAGAGCGAAGAGAUGUGAUAUUUUUCCUCCAGAGGCCAAUUUUCUUACUUCUGGAUGCAGGGACUUUGUCAUCAAGAAUAUGUCAAGACUUUCCACGGCCUUAUUUUAUACUACUUUGGGCCUCUCAUCAGCACUCACAAACUCCAAAUAUGUACAACCCAUAUAUUUUCGAAAUACUUUCCAAUGUAUGCUUCCUUAUGCCUCAUACCCCUUCUCCAUUUUAGCUUCAUUGAAAUAAAGAAGACAGGGACCAUUUUUGAGAAAAAGGAGAAGAUGGCAAGGAAAAACUCUCUCUUUCCCCUAGGAGCUCUGAAGAAGAAAGGGCUUGGAGAGAGGAAGGUAGGUAGUCCUACGUGCAUGUGUCAGACUCUGAAUAGAGAGCCACAGAGCCUCGCGGGAGGCUCGGGUAGCCCACAGGCUGUGUGGUAGAUGGCCUGGCACAGGAGCCCUUUGGAGGACUUAAGAGGGACUCAGAGUGAUCUGCAGAAGCAGGGAGAGUCGAGAGGAGGCCAGUCAACAGGGAGAGGCCCCUGGACAGGAUCAAGCUAUGAAACAUACCACAAAUUCAUCAGCUGCAGAACGCCCCAAGGAAGCAGCCAGCUAAACUAGAUCUUAAUGGACACCAGUCAGCAUUCACUCAAGGAGAAUCAUGGGGAGACGCCUUCUUCUAGAAGCUAUGAAGACCUUUCUCCUUUUCUCUGACACCAUCUUCAGAGAAGACAGAGGUGUAGGGAGGAAUCUGAAUAAUAACUAAAAGAGAUAAUUUACCCCGCAGGACUAAGUUUUGAACCAGCCUACAAAUACAACACCUGUACUUUUUCGGCACAGCUCAGUGUAGUAUGAGUAGUCCUGUGACUCUGAUAUAUAUGAAGUCAUUCAAUAGCUAAAGCUAAGAAGACAAGAAAGUAUGGGGUGUAUAUGAUGUGGUUGUAGGAAGUGAAUGACUUUCAGACAAUGUUCAAAUUCUCUGAAGAAUUUGUAGUCACAAAAUUCACUUUAAUGCAACAGCAUUGACCUUGAGCAAAAUUCUUCCUAAACAUCUAGCUCAAAACAGCAUUCACUGAGCACUUGUGCUAGCUACUGCAGACACUCUAUUAAAUAAAACUCGCUUGCAAGGCACUUACACAUCAGCACCAUCUUCCCUUCCAAUGCCAGAGUCUACCUAUGGAAAUCUGCUUUCAAGAAGCUUCCAGUGUUUGUCAUGUAUACCUUAGUGUAAAUUAAGUGAAUGUGUUAUCUCACCAUAAUUUGUGAUUUGUUUGUUUGUUGUAGUGGUUGUUGUUUACUGUCAUUUCCGACUAUAAAAGUAAAGCUUUGAUCUCUGCUGGAGUGACUUUCAGGCAUUAGUAAACACCUAGGGAGCUUUAUACGUUUUCAUAUGAAGAGGUCUUCCUCCUUGAAAUCCAUUCAACAAAUAUUGAGUAAGUACUGGCUCUGUUCCAGACCCAGAAUUAAAUGCUGGAAAGACACAGUUUCUUUUCUAACAUCUCCACUUAUAAGUCCCAUAAGCAUCUCAAAUUGAAUAUAUCUUAAGAAGAGUAUGUGAUUCCCACCCACCCGAACCUGAUCGUCCACAGUUUUUUCUGUCACAGUAAAUAGUAGAACCAUGUACGCAAUGUGCUCAAAUUAGAAACCCUGGCAUAAUCCAAUUGCUCCUGUUUCCUGACGCUGUCCCUGAGAAACACACUCUAACGCAUGGACACGGACACACAUCCACACAUGUGCCGUAAAAUUAACUUAACAGGAGGCCAUUAGAUGAGGUGGUUCUAACGCUGUGGCAGCCAACAUAAGCAACCCAAAGCCUAAGCCUAUAGAUGCCCCAAGGUUAUGAAAUGGAAACCUAAGGACAACCAGUCACAAACAGCCGACCGGGCUUUAAGCUAUAGCGAAUCAAUGAUCUCCUUGCUUUGCUUCCACCUUCCAUAAAAAGCCUCUCCAAGAAAUCCUGUCAGUGGAGCGCUCCUAAACACUUCCAGUUUGGCGCUGCCUGAUUGAAAUCGAUUUUGGCUCAGACUCUUAAAACUUGUAAUAUGCCUCAGUUUACCUUUUAACUGUACACACACAUACGUGUCCAUGGAAUCAUUCUCUUGGUCCUGCCUCCAAAUCAGAUCUUGAAUCUGCAGGGGAAGAAAAAUAAUUUUACCUCUACCCUUAUGACUUCUUGCUGAAAUGCCCUGUAAAGAAAGAUUAACAACAGGGGACCAGCCACGUGGCCCAGUGAUUAAAAUUCAAUGCACUUCCACCAAACUCAUAUCAUUUAGAUGGCCUGAGUUCACUGGUUCAGAUCCUAGGUGUGGACCUACCCCACUUGUCAGCGAUGCUGUGGAAGAGUCCCACAUAUAAAGAAGAGGAAGAUUGGCACAGAGGUUAGCUCAGGGCUAAUCUUCUUCAAGUAAAAAAAGAGGCAGAUUAGCAAUGGAUGUUAGCUCAGGGUGAAUCUUCCUCACCAAAAAAAAAUUACCAACAGACAAAGUUUAUUAUAAUAUUAUAUAUGAUAUAUAUUAUAGUAUAUAUAAUAAAUAUUAUAAUAAACAAGUUUAACAUGUAUAGAAGGGAGAUAUCAAGGAAAAAUGAGUAAACUCCCCAAGAUGACCCAAGCCACCACCUUAAAUACCAUCUUCAGCUAAAGACAAAAGAAAGAAAGAUGUUGAGGUUGGGGGGGUGGUGGCAAAGACACGGGAGGUUACCAGGAAAAGCACAGUAAACAAGGGUAUGGUUGUCAUGCAAGUUUAAGCAGUCACCUUCUCCAUUCAUAAGAGUUUCUUGUGAUUGAGAGUCAUCCUUCUCUUCCUGGUACAGAGAGGGAGACAGCCUUGUGAAUGGAGAUUUCCUGUGUUGACGUAAAUUGCCCUUAGAGAAGGAUAACUUCUACUUGGUUUUCAGAACUUCUCCUGUGUCUGCUGUUUCUCAAAAAUAAUCAGCUCAAGAUAAUCUUUAUGCCAAAGAGGUGUAUUUGGGGUGGCAUAUUCUAUUAGCCUUCCCGUCUGCCCUCUUCUCUCCAUGCCCAUUGCCUCUGCCCUCUCUCAAGUGGACACUCAGAUCUGAAGUCUUCUGCUCUCUUGCUCCCCGCUCUCUCUCGCCUCUCAGCUCUCAGAUCUCAGUCAGAUCGCCUCACUCUCCUGCUUCAACUCUUAUUGGCUUCCCAGGAUACCUGGUGUAAUAUCCCAACUCCGUCCCCAUCCUCCAAGGCUCUGUGUCAUCUACUCUGCUUCUCUCCCCGUGGGAUCUACCCUCCCCACCUCCCCAGCCUCACUUCUAAUCUCUUUCCCCACCCAAUACGUGCUCCACUCAUGAGAGUCUCAGGCAGUUCUCAGAAUGGACCACAUUCUUUCUACCUCUGGUCCUUUGCACUUGCUGUUCCUUCUGCUUAGAAUUUGCUCUGCCUAUCCAAUGACUGCUCCUUCCUCUCCUACAGGUCUCAGUUUAAAUAUCAUCUCCUCACAAACACCUUCCCUGAUCAGCCUAGCUGAAGUUACACCUCAAUUUUAACUGUCACAGCAUUCUGUUUAUUUUCUUUAAAGCAAAACCAUGGGUUGUGAAUAGCUGAUUUAUUUAUUGGCAGCAUAACAUAAUAGUUAUGACUCUGAAGGCAGAUUUUCUGGAUUCAGAUUCUGGCUCUGCCACCCUCAAGCUGUGUGGCCUUGGAAAAGUUACUUAACCUCUCUGUGCCUCCAUUCCCUUAUCUCUAAAAUGUAAAAAAUGAUACUACCUGCUUCACAGAGUUGUUAGAGAAUUAAAAGACUCAAUAAACAUGAAGCACUUCAAAUAGUGAUUGUCUGCAAGAAGCAUAAAUAUGUCUAUUUGUUAAAUAACUAUAAAAAUAAAAUAUGAUGAUGUCAAGAAUCCUGUCUUUCUCUAUUUAGCACUAUCUCGCCAGAGCUUAGCCUCAUGCCUAGCACAAAGAAGAUAGUCCAUAAAUAGUCAUUAAAUACAUAAACGAAUAAAAGAAUGACCAAAUGACAUGACUGUCCUCCAAGUAUUUGUCGUAAAGCCCAACAGGUUGAAAACUUUAAUGUCCAAAGUAAUCACCUGGGGAUCUUGUUAAACUGUAGACUCUCACUCAGCUGGUCCGGGGAGAAGCUGGAGAGUCUGCAUUUCCAACAAGCGCCAGGUGUUGCUGAUGCUGCUGGUCCAUAGUCCACACUUUGACUAUCUAGCUGAUUGCCGACUGACCUAGAUCUAGAAAUCAGCUCCUGGAAAGUGUCUGCUGGAAACAGCCUUCCCAUUGCAACACAUUUAUCUCUUAUAGAUAGUCACUUCCUCAUAAGGCCAUCCCAGAGUUAGAACCUUUUGGAAGUAUUGAUGGGGUCUCAGUGGACACUGCCCAUGAUCUCACUCAGGUGGUGUCACCUGAGUCAAUAAUCAACCUACCGUUACUUCUGACCACCUGGGAAGUUCUGGAAAAGGCCUCCUUAUGUAUUUCCCCUUUAUCAUCAAUGGGCCAUCUAUAUAUUUCAUCUGAAAAGAAUCUGUUCUUUUUAGGGCUCUCUUUGGGGCCUUAAAAGGUGUAGUAAAUGUGUUUCCUUUACACCAGCAUUUUCAGUAAUUUAUUCCAGAUACUCGUCUUGUAUCAUUUAACUCUUAAAUGCUUUCAGAUUUCAAAUAUGCUUUGUAUCAGCGCAUACAAACUAUGCAUGUUGGCACUGGUAUUUUAAGAACAAGAAGGUUAAGGUUUCAAAAGCAACACCCUGAUUUCUUGGACAUGAUGAAAGUGUGAUUUUUUUUUUCCCAGGGCAGAGGGUGUGUGUGGCUGGAAUUACUCAGAACUGCUCACUGGUUGCCUCUCAAGGAUUGCUUAAAUUUAAAAUACUGCCGUUGCUUCUACUGGAGUGUGAGCUCCAGAAAGGAAGUCUUACUCCUUUCCAAACUCCCAGCUAAAAUAACCCCUGGGGCACUUUUGAAAGUAAGCAUAAUCUUCAUGUAACAAGACAUUUCCCAGUACCACAUCUGAAGUCUGAAACUUCAUUGUAUAUCUUCUUUAAACAAUCGCAGCCUGCAACGCCUAAUUAUCUGCUUCCAAAAGCAUUUGGUUAGGCACACAACACAUCUCAGUAAUGGAAAUGGACUCUACUCUCCCACAGCCAGUUCAUAAAAGCAAUGGAGUCGUUUAAAUAUCGUCGAUUCUCUCUCGGCAGUUCAGUCGAGUAAUGUAGCAGAACUGUCUGAUGGCCAAGGUAAUGAUCAGAAGGGAUAUAACAGAGAGAGACAUCUACUGGCUGAUAUCGUAGAAUUAGCUCAUUGAUUCAGUUGGAAGAGUUUGGCUUGAGGGUCUCAUGGUAGUUGUUUCACGUUCCAACGUCCCCUCCACAGCAGCCCUGCAGUGCAGGCCGUGAAGGAUCAUGGCGUAAUUGUCCAAAUCCUCUUUACCUGUUCCCUGGAAUCAUGACUCCAUUCAUCACUCUAGCAAAAUCUCGAUCUCUUGACCACAUGCACUCACAGCUUUUAUUACUGAGUACCAAUUAUUUUAGUAUUUGAGGAUGCCAACUACAGCUGAAAAAAAAAAAAAAUGAAGCUGUUAGAAUUCCCCACCUUAGAGAUCUUUAGAACUGACAACCACGUGUGCAGCUCAACUGAGCAAGAUGAUGGGAUUUCCAUUCUCAACUUCUGUAACACCACUGUGCACUUCUUAAAGUUUGAAAACUCCAGGAAGGGCUGUAGCAUCUACCACUCGCUGACAUGCCAUGGUCCUUAUUUCAUCCCAAACCAAUUCCCCUCCAAAGCACUAUGAUUCAUUAAUGUUCUUAUUGUUAUUGGUUAAUGUCCAUGUUAAUUAUUCAUAAUUCCCUAUCAAUAUUCAUAUCCCCAGAGAACUCACUUCUAUUCCUCCACACUAAUCUAGAACGGAAGGAGAGCGGCUAGAACGGAAGGACUAUACUGAAGCUCAAUGUCUGUCCUGUACAACAUCAUUAGGCAUAAAGGGAUAAACAGUGGCGCCCUCCCCCUCUGCUCCCGAGUCUCAGGGGCACGUGUUAAUAGGCAGAAUCCUGACAUCCAUCCUUUUCUAAGGCAGGCAAUCAGAUCACCCUCCAAGAGAGAAGUUAGGUUAUUUUUUUCAACAAACAUAUUUUAAAAUGGAGGUCACUGAUCUCAUGGGAGAAUGAGGACACAGCACACUCAGAGAGGCCCUGUUACGGCACCC
ensembl:lncRNA